rnacentral:rRNA from 1 species
GAUGAACGCUAGCUACAGGCUUAACACAUGCAAGUCGAGGGACCGGCGUACGGGUGAGUAACGCGUAUCCAACCUUUCCAUUACUGUGGGAUAACCUGCCGAAAGGUAGACUAAUAUCGUAUAGUAAUGGAUGGGGAUGGGUCUGAUUAGCUUGUUGGCGGGGUAACGGCCCACCAAGGCGACGAUCAGUAGGGGUUCGGAGAGUAAGGUCCACGAGAUUGGAACAGAGCCACGGUCCAAUCUCGUACGGGAGGCAGCAGUGAGGAGUAUUGUGGAAUGAACGGAAGUCUGAACCAGCCAAGUAGCGGACAGGAUGACGACCUGUGAAUUGUAAACUGCUUUUGAAUGGGGAUAGGUACCAUAUGAAUAAGGACCGGCUAAUUCCGUGCCAGCAGCCGCGGUAAUUC